GGACCCGCACAAGUAGUGGAGCAUGUGGUUUAAUUCGAUGCAACGCGAAGAACCUUACCAGGCCUUGACAUCCUCGGAACUUUCUAGAGAUAGAUUGGUGCCUUCGGGAACCGAGUGACAGGUGCUGCAUGGCUGUCGUCAGCUCGUGUCGUGAGAUGUUGGGUUAAGUCCCGUAACGAGCGCAACCCUUGUCCUUAGUUGCCAGCACUUCGGCUGGGCACUCUAUGGAAACUGCCCGUGAUAAGCGGGAGGAAGGUGUGGAUGACGUCAAGUCCUCAUGGCCCUUACGGGUUGGGCUACACACGUGCUACAAUGGUAGUGACAAUGGGUUAAUCCCAAAAGCUAUCUCAGUUCGGAUUGUCGUCUGCAACUCGACGGCAUG
rnacentral:rRNA from 1 species